rnacentral:lncRNA from 1 species
CUCCCCAGGCCCCGCCACAAGAGCACUACAGCCACAGGGGCACAGGGUGGGAGCGGCUUCUGGACUUGAGCAGGUAUUUAUGUGUUUGCCUGUCUGCCGCUCCCCAGAUUGGGGCAGGGGUGGACAGGAGGGAAAGAGGAUGCAAGGAGCUCUCCAGGCUCAAGGAGGCCAGCCACAAGGCUGCCCUGGUCCUGGAGGGCCCAGUGACCAGCCUCACCCCUCAGGACCUAGCUGGUGAGCGUGGUGGUAGAGUUUGCCAGCCCCUGUGGGGUGGGGCGAUGGAGAAGGAACAGAGCUUUUUUCUCUAAAGUGCAAUAAAAUCUAUCAGGGAGCUGGGCAUGCAGCAGUGUGGCUCUGGGCCCUGCUACCCGGGCUGCUGAGGCUGUGCCCUGGCAGGCACUACAGCAGUGGGCAGCGGGUGGGUGGACGGUGAGGGUGGGUUGGGCUGGGCCACUCCUGUUGGAGCAGCUCUCACACCUUUUCUAAUAAAUGGAGCUGGGUUCACAAAAAAAAUAAAUAAAUAA